rnacentral:lncRNA from 1 species
AUUCUAAGUGCCAACUCUCAGGGGAGAUGUCUUCAGUAUUUCUCCAGAGUGUUGCUUUGGGGGGCACUCCUGUGCCGUAGUAGUUCUGACACUUAUCAGAUCCAGAUCAUUCUACUAACAAUGGUCUUGAGCCAACAUUUGUCAUUCAAAGGUUGCUCUCUUAUGGAAUUGCCAUAGCUAGGCAAUCAUUUCUUAUUUAGAAACAUUGGACACUUUUAGGUGUGCUUUCAUGGUGAUUAUACGGUUUUACAUUAAGUUAUGCAGCAAAAUAUCUUUUAGGAGCCCCAGAUACUCAAUGAGGCACCAUCACAUUGAACAGAAAUAAUUGCAAGUAGGAAGGUGAUUUGAGGAAGUGACAAUCCCCCAGUGGAAUCUGGUUUUGAACUGUGACGUCUUAUAGCAUUUCAUGAUUGUUUUGUUAGUGCCAGGAAAUCUGAUCUGGGAGAAACAUUGGCACUUUUUCUAAGGCUCACAUCAUUAAAGUUUAUUUCUUUAUUUGAGGGAGAGAGCUUGCUCCAAAUUGGAGAAAACCGAGAGAACAGUUAGUAGGACUUAAAUUCUAACUCUGUUGAUGUCUCAGUUAUUUAUUACUGUGUAACAAACUACCCUAAAAUUUAGUGGCUUAAAACAAAAACCAUGUAAUUGUUCAUGAUUCUGUGGGUCAGGAAUUCAGACAGGGCUCAGUGGGGAUGGUUCACCUCUGCUCCACAUCAUGUUGCCUGGGGCUGGAAGAUCCAAGAUGACCUCACUCACGGGCUUAGGCAUUGGUGCUGGCUGAUGGCGGGGGGAGCUCACUUCUCUUCCAAGGACCUCUCUCUUUUCUCUCUCUCUCUAUCUUUCCCCCCAAUCCUCCACCCCACCCUUCACUCUUGCUCUCACUCUAUCUCUGUGGUCUCUCAUCAUUCAGUAGUCAUAUUUACAUUGAGGUAGCUGGCUCACCAAAGGAACUGGAAAUGCUCUCAAGGAUCAGAAAUCAGUGUCACUUCUCCCACAUUCUACUGACCUGACCAAAGUAAAUCUCAGGAUCCACCUAGAAUCAUGCAGAGAAGAAAGACUCCACUUCUUGGCUGAAAGAGCUGCGUGGUACACAGGGUUUGUUGGUGGCCAUUUUUUGCAGAAAAGCUACUACAGUGGCUGACUCCUAGCAAGGUGUUUCUAAGUUCCUUCACUGGACAAAUUAAUAUUAGUCAAUUGCCUUAAAGAAAUAGAGUUAUCUUAUUUGGUGGACUCCCAAAUGCCAUCCACACUGUGUGUAAGAUGCACAUAGUUUUAUGCACUGUUUUAAAAGAAAGCCACCAAAUAAAAUGGGACAUGAUAUCAAUUGUUAAGAUCAAUUUCAGAGAUACUAAAUGAUGGAGGAAAUAUGCAUGUUAGAAUUAAUAAAAAUGGUAAUUAUUCACUAUAUAACUCAACAGAAUUUAAAAAUGAAUGGAUAAAAAUCUGAGGUGUAAAAAUAAGUCACUCUUUUGAUCACUGAGUCUAUUAAUUGAAUAUCAACUUACAUAGGUCUUAUCCUGACUAAGGUGCUGAUGAUCUGGCCUACUGUCUAGUAGAACAGGGCCUUAAGGAACCAUUAUUUCUCCCCCAUCCCCUCAUCAAACCAUGAGGAAAAGCCUGAUGAGGGAAGCAAGCAAUGAAUCAGUAAAAUGAACAUUUUAAAGAAUAAGAGGUCCUGUGAGUGUCUGGGGGGAAAUAAAGAAGGUGAUGAGGGAUAAUAACAAACCACCUCCUUUAGACAGGGGUGGUUACCGAAGGGCAUGUGAAGAAAGGAUGUUGAAGCAGAGACCCAGGGAUUAAAAAGAAUCAGCCAUGCAAAAAGCAGAGGAAGGUACUUGUAUUAGUCCGUUUUCAUGCUGCUGAUAAAGACAUACCUGAGACUGGGUGACACACAAAAGCAGACAGCCCUGAUAAUACCAUCAGAUCUCAUGAGAUUUAUUCACUACCACAAGAACAGUAUGGAGGAAACCGCCCUCAUUGUUCAAUUAUCCCCCACUGGGUCCCUUCCACAACAUGUGGGAAUUAUGAGAGUACAAUUCCAGAUGAGAUUUGGGUGGGGACAUAUAGCCAAACCAUAUCAGUGUUCUAGACCAGGCAGAGGACACAGUAAGUACAAAGUUGCUGAGAUGGGAAAGAGCUUGGCACAUUCUUAGAAGUGAAAGUAGAUUGGUUUCAUUGGAGCGCAAUGAGCAAAUUCCUCCAUUAAACAUCUGUUUAAAUAUCUGCGAAGCAAAACAACCACAACAAAAACCAACUAGAUCCAGAAUUUUCCAAGUCUAUCAACAUCUUUGGGAGGAAAAAAAUGGGCCCUAUAGUGGGUUUUCUAAACCCUCUUACUAGCCAGAUGUUGAGAAUGUUUCUUGGGUUUAUAGGAGCUUAUUGAUUAAGUCACUGUUUCUUAAACAUGAGUAAUGAAGUAACCCUUUAAAUGGAAAAAUAUUAUAAAUCAUUAGUGUGGACAAAUCAUUUUAAUUAUGUUUCUUUAAGAUAAAUGAAGUAUAAAUGCUGUAUAUGCAUAGCUGUUAUGCAAAUCUAAGAGUAAAUCUAAUGUAGGAAUUAAAUACAAACUAAACUACAAAACUAACAAAAUGAAAAUUAUCAAUAUUAAUUCAGAGUAAUGGUUGAUGUUAUUUGCUGCCACUAACUUGUUGAUGUUUGGUUUAAUAGUAGAAAAUAAACUGAUGUAUUUAGUUU